rnacentral:rRNA from 1 species
UACGUAGGGGGCUAGCGUUGUCCGGAUUUAUUGGGCGUAAAGAGCGUGUAGGCGGCCAGGUAGGUCUGCUGUGAAAACUCGAGGCUCAACCUCGAGACGUCGGCGGAAACCAUCUGGCUAGAGUCCGGAAGAGGAGAGUGGAAUUCCUGGUGUAGCGGUGAAAUGCGUAGAGAUCUGGAGGAAUACCGAUGGCGAAGGCAGCCUUCUGGCCCAAUACUGACGCUGAGGUGCGAAAGCAUGGGGAGCAAACAGG